rnacentral:rRNA from 1 species
UACGGAGGGGGCUAGCGUUGUUCGGAAUUACUGGGCGUAAAGCGCACGUAGGCGGCUUUGUAAGUUAGAGGUGAAAGCCCGGAGCUCAACUCCGGAACUGCCUUUAAGACUGCAUCGCUUGAGCGUCGGAGAGGUAAGUGGAAUUCCGAGUGUAGAGGUGAAAUUCGUAGAUAUUCGGAAGAACACCAGUGGCGAAGGCGACUUACUGGACGACUGUUGACGCUGAGGUGCGAAAGCGUGGGGAGCAAACAGG